rnacentral:rRNA from 1 species
AGCAGCCGCGGUAAUUCCAGCUCCAAUAGCGUAUAUUAAAGUUGUUGCAGUUAAAAAGCUCGUAGUUGAACUUCGGGAUCAAUGGAUUGGUCAUGCCGAUGGUAUGUACUGGUCAUAUUGGUUCUCACCUUCUAAGGAACCAUGAUGUCAUUCACUUGGUGUUGUGGGGAAUUAGGACUGUUACCUUGAAAAAAUUAGAGUGUUUAAAGCAGGCCAACGCUUGAAUACAUUAGCAUGGAAUAAUGAAAUAGGACAUCGCAUUCUAUUUUGUUGGUUUCUAGGAUCGAUGUAAUGAUUAAUAGGGAUAGUUGGGGGCAUUAGUAUUCAAUUGUCAGAGGUGAAAUUCUUGGAUUUAUUGAAGACUAACUACUGCGAAAGCAUUUGCCAAGGAUGUUUUCAUUAAUCAAGAACGAAAGUUAGGGGAUCGAAGACGAUCAGAUACCGUCGUAGUCUUAACCAUAAACUAUGCCGACUAGGGAUCGGAUGAUGUUGAUUUUUUAAU